rnacentral:rRNA from 1 species
GACGAACGCUGGCGGCGUGCUUAACACAUGCAAGUCGAGCGGUAAGGCCCUUUCGGGGUACGACGAGCGGCGAACGGGUGAGUAACACGUGGGUGACCUGCCCUCAGCUCUGGGAUAAGCCUGGGAAACCGGGUACUAAUACCGGAUAUGACUCCAUGACGCAUGUUGUGGGGUGGAAAGCCUUGUGCGGCUGAGGAUGGGCCCGCGGCCUAUCAGCUUGUUGGUGGGGUGAUGGCCUACCAAGGCGACGACGGGUAGCCGGCCUGAGAGGGCGACCGGCCACACUGGGACUGAGACACGGCCCAGGCUCCUACGGGAGGCAGCAGUGGGGAAUCUUGCGCAAUGGGCGAAAGCCUGACGCAGCGACGCCGCGUGAGGGAUGACGGCCU